rnacentral:rRNA from 1 species
GGUACUCGAGUGGCGAACGGGUGAGUAACACGUGGGUGAUCUGCCUUGCACUUCGGGAUAAGCUUGGGAAACUGGGUCUAAUACCGGAUAGGACAGCUGUUUAGUGUCAGUUGUGGAAAGUUUUUUCGGUGCAAGAUGAGCUCGCGGCCUAUCAGCUUGUUGGUGGGGUAAUGGCCUACCAAGGCGUCGACGGGUAGCCGGCCUGAGAGGGUGUACGGCCACAUUGGGACUGAGAUACGGCCCAGACUCCUACGGGAGGCAGCAGUGGGGAAUAUUGCACAAUGGGCGGAAGCCUGAUGCAGCGACGCCGCGUGGGGGAUGAAGGCCUUCGGGUUGUAAACUCCUUUCGACAGGGACGAAGCGUAAGUGACGGUACCUGUAUAAGAAGCACCGGCUAACUACGUGCCAGCAGCCGCGGUAAUACGUAGGGUGCGAGCGUUGUCCGGAAUUACUGGGCGUAAAGAGCUCGUAGGUGGUUUGUCGCGUCGUCUGUGAAAUUCCGGGGCUUAACUCCGGGCGUGCAGGCGAUACGGGCUGACUUGAGUGCUGUAGGGGAGACUGGAAUUCCUGGUGUAGCGGUGAAAUGCGCAGAUAUCAGGAGGAACACCGAUGGCGAAGGCAGGUCUCUGGGCAGUAACUGACGCUGAGGAGCGAAAGCAUGGGUAGCGAACAGGAUUAGAUACCCUGGUAGUCCAUGCCGUAAACGGUGGGCGCUAGGUGUAGGGGGCUUCCACGUCUUCUGUGCCGUAGCUGACGCAUUAAGCGCCCCGCCUGGGGAGUACGGCCGCAAGGCUA